GAACGCUGGCGGCAGGCCUAACACAUGCAAGUCGAGCGGUAACAGAAAGAAAGCUUGCUUUCUUUGCUGACGAGCGGCGGACGGGUGAGUAAUGCCUGGGAAUAUGCCUUAGUGUGGGGGAUAACUAUUGGAAACGAUGGCUAAUACCGCAUAACGUCUUCGGACCAAAGAGGGGGACCUUCGGGCCUCUCGCGCUAAGAUUAGCCCAGGUGGGAUUAGCUAGUUGGUGAGGUAAAGGCUCACCAAGGCAACGAUCCCUAGCUGGUCUGAGAGGAUGAUCAGCCACACUGGAACUGAGACACGGUCCAGACUCCUACGGGAGGCAGCAGUGGGAAUAUUGCACAAUGGGGGAAACCCUGAUGCAGCCAUGCCGCGUGUAUGAAGAAGGCCUUCGGGUUGUAAAGUACUUUCAGUCGUGAGGAAGGCAUUGUAGUUAAUAGCUGCAGUGCUUGACGUUAGCGACAGAAGAAGCACCGGCUAACUCCGUG
rnacentral:rRNA from 1 species